rnacentral:rRNA from 1 species
UACAGAGGAUGCAAGCGUUAUCCGGAAUCACUGGGCAUAAAGCGUCUGUAGGUUGCUUAGCAAGUCUGCUGUUAAAGAUCAGGGCCUAACCCUGGGAAAGCAGUGGAAACUAGUAGGCUUGAGUGUGGUAGAGGUAGAGGGAAUUCCUGGUGUAGCGGUGAAAUGCGUAGAUAUUAGGAAGAACACCAAUGGCGAAAGCACUCUACUGGGCCACAACUGACACUAAGAGACGACAGCUAGGGGAGCAAAUGGG